rnacentral:lncRNA from 1 species
AUUCACAGCAGACAGGUCACAGAAGAUGAGGUACAUGUGACCCUCAAAGGGAGAAAACCUCCUCAUUAUAAUCAAAUACUAAAUUAAUAAAACAUCUUUUCCCCACACAUUGAAUUGGCAUAAUCUGCUGUUCUAUUGGGUCUAAGGUAACACUCAGUUCCCUGCAGCCUGACACUCAUGACCUUUCCAUAGAGCAACCUGCUAAUUCAUCCUACAAGAUUAUAAACAUUCUAAUAUAGACUAUGCACAAAUAUUUACCUAUAAAAUGCUCCUCACACUAUUGUUUAUUAAAGCAAAAAAAAAGUUAGGCGUUAUCUAAAUAUUUAACAAUAGUGGUUUGACUAAAAGAAAAAGUUAGGAAUUAUCUGAAUAUUUAGCAAUAGAGGUUUGGAGUUCCUGUUGUGGCUCAGUGGUAACAAGCCUGACUAGUAUCCAUGAGGAUGCAGGUGUGAUCCCUGGCCUCGCUCAGUGGGUUAAGGACCCAACAUAAGUGAGCUGUGGUGUAGGGUGAAGAUGUGGCUCAUAUCCCAAGUUGCUGUGGCUGUGGUGUAGGCCAGCGGCUAUAGCUCUGACUGGACCCCAAGCCUGGGAACUUCCACAUGCCGUGAGUUCAGCCCUAAAAAAAGACCAAAAAACAAAAACAACAAAAACAGUAGAGGCUUGACUAAAAAUAACAAGUACAAUGAAAAGACCUUCAGACCUAUGUAUCAAGUUGAAAACCACCUUUCUGUUGUCAUGUAAAGAUGAUUAGGAGUUCCCGUCGUGGCGCAGUGGUUAACGAAUCCGACUAGGAACCAUGAGGUUGUGGGUUCGAUCCCUGCCCUUGCUCAGUGGGUUAACGAUCCGGCGUUGCCGUGAGCUGUGGUGUAGGUUGCAGACCGGCUCGGAUUCUGAGUUGCUGUGGCUCUGGCGUAGGCCGGUGGCUGCAGCUCCGAUUCAACCCCUAGCCUGGGAACCUCCAUAUGCCGCGGGAGCGGCCCAAGAAAUAGCAACAAUAACAACAAAAGCAAAAAAGACAAAAAGAAAAAAAAAAAUAAAAAUAAAAAAAAAUAAAGAUGAUUAGGACAGCCAAUAUUGGGAAAAGGAACUUCCGAAACCUCAAUUAAGAUGCAGAAAAAUAUAAUGUGUGCUAACAAUGACUGACUAUGCGUGGUGGAAUUAUAAAUUUUUUAUUGUUCUGCUUCAAAGCAUUUUCUAAUUUUUCUGUAGUGCAUAAGCAUUGCUUCUAUAUUAAGAAAGGCAAUAAACAAUUUUGACUUUGAAGACGUCAGGACAUAGUCCCAGAAUCAAAUGCAUGUCUGAACUCGGAUCCUUCUUUCAUCCCACUAAUAUUUAUAGAGAGCUUAUAUAUGCCAGAUUCUGCUGGUGCUGAAAAUAAAAACAUGCAUGCUAGCUCUUAACUCCUGGCUUAGCACUUGUCUUACUAUUAACACAAUUAUUAGUACUGGCACUUAGUCAAGAACAGUAUUGGUUUCAUUAAGGGAGUGAGUAUAGUUACAUAAACAAGUCAUCAAGCACAGGGUGAUAUAGGAGGGAUCACUAACCCAGACUUCAGGGGCAGAGAAGGGAGGGCUUCCUGGAAGAAGGGGUACUUAACAGUUUAAGUCAAGGGGGCUGCUAAGGACAAAGAAGGGGCCAUGUUGCUGGCAGAAGGAAUAGCACAGGCAGAGAAUUCACCAGGAGUACAAAGAACCCAAGUUCACUUAGCUUGGAUGCUGCAGUGUUAGGUGGGGAAGGAGUGGGAGAGAGGGCAGGGAUCAGCUGGCAUCAGAAGCAGGAGGCCUUGUAAGCCAUGGUGAGGGCUCUGAACUUGACUCUCAGCUCUUGCAUGAGAUUUGCUCUGUGAAAAUGAGGCCAGUGGGACUGGAGUCAUGGGGCCCGAUCUUCCCUCAGCUCCAUGAUUGGUGGGUCACCUGCUAUUAUUUCUCACCUGCAGGUAUUGGGUCCUUGAGAGGUGAGAGUCUUUGUCAGGUCAAGAUACUGCUGUUCAUUUCUCAUAAGCCUUCUAACUUUCUGAAAUCUCAGUGUUUUGGCUAAAUUCAGGUAAUACUCCCCUCAAUCCCGUUUCAUUCAGUAUGAUUACACUAAAACUCUCCCCACCUUUCUGAAGAGCCAUCAUGUUGCUAUUCAGCCUGGGGAAUAGCAACACUUCACUAAAAGCUGCAUGCUCCUUGCCCCACCUGCACAGUUCUGUACCCCGUCCCUGGGGUGCUCAGGUUUGUUCCUUUUGUAGUUUUCAAGCAACUUUACACUCUGGCUAAGGCUGCUUGACCCAUAGCCAAACCUCUCCCCUUUGCAGAAAGCUUUGACAAACAUGGCAAGGCAGCUUUGCCACAAGGAGACCACAGAAAUCCACAGCAAAAAGAAUUUAAAGUUCAGCGGAGAGAAAUAAACUUAAUCCAGAUUACUUGCCACUUCUGCUAAAAUACACGUAUCAGAGGGAUAGAAAAUGUGAGGUGGAUUCAUAUGCCCCUAAACAGCCAUUGAUGGAAUCAUUUCUCAGCACACACCACAGCCUCAGUUGUCCCCUAGGUGGCCUCCCUAUGACUUGCAGUGGUGUCCCUGGCUGCCUCUGAAAGUCAUAGCUGGACAAAAUGUAGCUCUGAGAGCACUUCCCAGCAUUGCCAUCACGUCUGCACUCAGCAGAAAACCACGAAUAUAGCUUCGGACACCUCAGCACUGCAGGGGCUCCUCUCCUGGGACACAGAUGCAGUGACUCAAAGCCAUGGCUGGAGCAGUCAGCCCUGUGGAAUAUGCUUUGCUAUCUUACUCAUUUCAAAUUCCCUUUCAAAUCCACAGGGAAAGUAUGUUACGCCUUACUAACCUCAGACUUCAAGAUCUUGGCUUGAGUGUGAUCAGAUUAGGUGAGCAACUUUGCUGUGCUCUGAAGUUCCUUCCAUCUAAAAAUGAAAUCCUCCAAAAGGGCGAGAAAAGAAAAUUGUACUUGGAGGAGUUCCUGUUGUGGCUCAGCAUGUUAAGAACCCAACUAACAUCUCUGAGGAUGCCGGUUCAAUUCCUGGCCUCGCUCAUUGUGUUAAAGUAUCCAGUGUUGCCAUGAGCUGUGGAAAUAGGUCAAAUUCACAGCUCAGAUCUGGUGUUGCUGUGGCUAAGGUAUAGGCCUGCAGCUGUAUCUCUGAUUUGACCCCUAGCCCGGGAAUUUCCAUAUGCUACAGGUGC